rnacentral:rRNA from 1 species
CACGUAGGGUGCGAGCGUUGUCCGGAAUUAUUGGGCGUAAAGAGCUCGUAGGCGGUGUGUCGCGUCGGCCGUGAAAACCUGGGGCUCAACUCUGGGCUUGCGGUCGAUACGGGCAUCACUGGAGUUCGGCAGGGGAGACUGGAAUUCCUGGUGUAGCGGUGAAAUGCGUAGAUAUCAGGAAGAACACCCGUGGCGAAGGCGGUUCUCUGGGACGGUACUGACGCUGAGACGCGAAAGCGUGGGGAGCGAACAGG